rfam:Picea glauca, whole genome shotgun sequence.
GCGCAUCUAGUGUAGUGGUAUCAUAGUACCCUCCCACGGUACUAAUCGGGGUUUGAUUCCCUGGAUGCGCA